CACACAUGGUAAUAUCUGAUACAAUGAAACCAUUUCCAAAUAAUGUAUGUAAUUUAUAUUUUUUUAUGUUUAUAGAAGGCCAGCCUCCAUCUCCCACAAAGAGCAAAGAAGAGCAGCCUGAGGAAAUGCAGGAUGAUGCUGAAGGUGGCAAUGGCACAGUGGAUAAGCAAAACAGCGAUGAAAAUAAGACUCAGAGCCAAGAAUCAGGUGAAACAAAACCUUCAGCUGUAGCCAGCCUAUCAUCAGAAGAUAUUGAGCUGAGUGAGAAUAAAGAUUCCCCGAAAGACUCCAAAGGCGCGCAGAAGGGUGAUUCAGUGCAUCCUGUGAUGUGUGAACAAGAUCAAGCCAAAGGACAACAGGAUGUUUCUGCAAAUGAGGAGAUAAAAACUGGGGAAGAUUCCCAAGAUUCCUGCAUGGAAAUAGAAGAUCCACUGUUGAACCAAGAAGGCACAACAGAGGCUGAGAUUCCUUUGAUACUUGGUGCAGAGGAAAAGGCAGAAGGAAAAGCAGAAGGAGGGAUACAAGAGCAAGAGGAAACUUCCAUGGAGCCUCUGAAAAUUGACCUUGCAAGUCAAGCAGCAGAUGUUUCAAAUAAGGAUGCUGAAAUGAAUAGUCAAGUUGAAAGUAUAAAUGAUCCAAUGGAAACAGAGCAGAAAGCUUAAGUAACAGGAAGGAUGCAGGAGAGGAGGGACCCAAGGAACCCUAGGGGCAGGCGCUGACAUCCUCCAGCAUCAUCCUUGGCCGAAAAGAGCACACAGAGAUGAUCAGCGGGUUGGGAGGGGGGGAGCUUCUGGGGGAAUGAGUCUUUGCUUUUAAUUUCUCUUUGUUCUCCAUUGCAUUUCACUCUGUAAGUCUGUUGGAAAGGUUCACAACUUCCCAGGUCUAACAGUGUUUUGCAAUCAACCCUGCAUUUACAACAGUUUCUUCUGAAAUGUGAGUCCCUCUCUUACACUGGGUCUUUUUUCCUCCUGCAUCAUACCAUCAGUAGCCUGUUUCCAGGCCCACCCCUUUUCUAGCAUCUUUACCUUCUUUCUUUCCCAUCAUCAGCCUAUGCUGUGCCAUGUCCUUACAUGUGAAUAACACACGUGGCCUCAAACAGCCAGCCCCCUCAAUCCUGCUUUUCCCAGUUGGUUCUGCACAUCUCAAAACCAGUGCUGUCAGUAUGACCUUUGGGCACAGGUGGGCAACAGACAUUUCCUCAGUGCUGGAAAGACUCUGCAUUAGAGGCAUCUUUAAAUACAGCUCCCAGCUUUAACAGCUUCACACAGUGGCUUUUGUGAGCCCUCAUUACAUUUUCCACUGCAUAUGCAUGGAUUUUAAUUUUUUUUUAAAAAAAGCAAUUAACAGUUAUUUGGAUAAGAAUGUCUCUCCAUAUGUCAAUUGUUCUGCCAGUAAAUGCUGCACUGAAAUCUGUAGAAAAGGAACAAAAGGUUUUCAUGUACGUUUCCCAACUGUACUGUAACUGAAACUGAUGGAAAAUACACUGGAUGGAAGAGCAUGCAGCCUGUGCUACACACUGUAUUUUAAAGUGCUGCUAGAAUAAUUUAGCCAUUUUAAGCAAUGUAAUUGAUCCUAAUUUGAUAAUUUUAAGAAAAAUAUUUGGUCCUGUACUCUUUUUUUUUUUCACCCAAAAUACUCCUGAAUCACAGAAUAGAUAUUUAAUAUCUGGCCAGGAAAAAAAAAAGUAAAACAUAAGGUAAGACAUAUGUCUAUCCUGCUGUGAUCUGGGUUCAAUGAUAAAUCCUGUGCUGGAGUAACAGCAAGUCAAGGCACUAACACAGGCUAUGACAGUCAAUGGUUGUUAAUUUAGGAGGGUGUCAAGGAAAAACAAGAUUAGAAAGGAAAGCAGGAAAAGCACCAGAUUGCUCACAGAGAGUACGUACAGCUCCUAGAAAAUACAGCUCCUCCCCUCCUCUGUGGGACUCCAGCCUGUUUGUUGAGGUGGGAUCAGAAGGGAAUUUCUGUGUGCUGCCUCCAGUGUGAGUCACACCAGGUGUGACUGGUGCCAGAGGGGCUCUCAAAGAGCUUCUCCAUCACCUGGACAGCUCCAAAUUGGAUAAAAUGCAGGAGUAAAUGUGCUAAUGUUAGUCUAUUAAUUGGUUUGAGAAUUUUGCUAAGAUAGUCUUUUAUGGUAUACUCUGUUAAUCCGUUUGAGAAUUUUGCUAAGAUUACUUGUAUUUGGUAACUACCAUUCUUCUGCCUCUUGUUCUCUCCAAAUACUCUUGAGGGAACUCCUUGUUCCCUUUGAGGUGCCUCUGAUGCUCUCCUUUCCCAGCCUUGGGGUCAUGCUUGGCAGAACAUGUCUUUUGGGAUGUGGAUUAUUUUGCAUGGUCCCCUCUGUUUCUGUGCAUUUCUCACACUGUGGUGUUGUGAUUGGAACAGGCUGUCACAACAGGCAAGUCAGGAGUGGAUAAAUACAUCAGGAGGUGGUAGAAUGUGAUAACCUCAGCGUUCUGUCCAGCGCCCUGAAUGUAGUUCUGUACCUCUCCUGAUCGUGCUUCCCCAUGGCCAGCAUUAACAUCAGCCAGGAAUCAGAUGUCAGAAUCUUUCUUCACCAACUUUGGCUUUAGCAAGGGAGCCAAAGGGGGUUGGAUGCUGAGGUGUGGUCAUUCAGAAGGAGAUAAAGAUUCCUUAAAUGUCUUGUGAAGUCUGACUGGCAGUUAAAGAAAAUAAAAAUAGCUGCAAAGAUGCA
rnacentral:lncRNA from 1 species